CGCAUCUGUGCAUGCAGCAUAUCAAUAAGCGGAGGAAAAGAAACUAACAAGGAUUCCCCUAGUAACGGCGAGUGAAGCGGGAAGAGCUCAAAUUUGAAAUCUUAAAGGGUUUCCCUUUACGAAUUGUAGUUUAAAGAAGUGUUUUCUGUUGAGGUUUUGGUAAAAGUUCUUUGGAAUAGGACAUCAUAGAGGGUGAGAAUCCCGUAUUUGACCUUUACUUUCAACUUUGUGAUACACUUUCAAAGAGUCGGAUUGUUUGGGAAUGCAGUCCAAAAUGGGUGGUAAAUUUCAUCUAAAGCUAAAUAUUGGCGAGAGACCGAUAGCGAACAAGUACCGUGAGGGAAAGAUGAAAAGAACUUUGAAAAGAGAGUUAAACAGUACGUGAAAUUGUCAAAAGGGAAGCGUUUGACACCAGUGUUGUUUUUCUGAAAAUCAAUUAAAGAACUGUUUAUGCUAAGCUGUUUAGACUUUAUCAGCUAAUCUGUUUAGUUUUGAGCUUUUCUUUAAUGCACUUAUCAGUUAACAAGUCAACAUCAAUUUCUUUUGCUGUAAAAAAGCUUGAGGAAGGUGGCUUGAGAUUCGUCUUAAGUGUUUAUAGCCUCUUGCCUAUGCAGUCGGAGAGAUUGAGGUCUGCAGCGUAGAUCCUUCGGGGCUAAAUGCAUUUGUGCUAAGUUAUAGCAUUUUAUAGACAACUUGUUGACUAUGAUUUGUCUUGUAGCUUACUCGCUUAUGUUAUUUUACCUACGCUUAGGAUGUUGAACGCGCACAGAGUCUC
rnacentral:rRNA from 1 species